ACUCAAAUGAAUUGACGGGGGCCCGCACAAGCGGUGGAGCAUGUGGUUCAAUUCGAAGCAACGCGCAGAACCUUACCAGCCCUUGACAUGUCCCGUAUGGGUUUCAGAGAUGAGAUCCUUCAGUUCGGCUGGCGGGAACACAGGUGCUGCAUGGCUGUCGUCAGCUCGUGUCGUGAGAUGUUGGGUUAAGUCCCGCAACGAGCGCAACCCUCGCCCUUAGUUGCCACCAUUUAGUUGGGCACUCUAAGGGGACUGCCGGUGAUAAGCCGCGAGGAAGGUGGGGAUGACGUCAAGUCCUCAUGGCCCUUACGGGCUGGGCUACACACGUGCUACAAUGGCGGUGACAGUGGGAUGCAAUGGAGCAAUCCUGCGCAAAUCUCAAAAAGCCGUCUCAGUUCGGAUUGGGGUCUGCAACUCGACCCCAUGAAGUCGGAAUCGCUAGUAAUCGCAGAUCAGCACGCUGCGGUGAAUACGUUCCCGGGCCUUGUACACACCGCCCGU
rnacentral:rRNA from 1 species